GGAUUCCAGCUUCAUNAGGGCGAGUUGCAGCCCUCAAUCCGAACUAAGAUUGGCUUUAGGAGAUUUCCAUCCCCUUUCGGGGUAGAUACCCAUUGUACCAACCAUUGUAGCUCGCGUGUAGCCCGGGGUAUUCGGGGCAUACUGACCUACCGUUGCCCAUUCCUUCCUCCGCUUUAGCAGCGGCGGUGGGGACAGUGUACCCGUCACUCCGGAGAGUACGCUGGCAACUGUGGGCGUGGGUCUCGCUCGUUGCCUGACUUAACAGGAUGCUUCACAGUACGAACUGACGACGGCCAUGCACCACCUCUCAGCUAAUCCGGCAAAGUCUUCAGCCUGGCCUUCAUAUUGCUGUCGGUCCCGGUAAGAUUUCCGGCGUUGAAUCCAAUUAAACCGCAAGCUCCACCCGUUGUGGUGCUCCCCCGCCAAUUCCUUUAAGUUUCAG
rnacentral:rRNA from 1 species